rnacentral:tmRNA from 1 species
GGGGGCGUUUAGAUUCGACAGGAUUGUAGGGUCGUAAGUUGCAGGUCGAGGUUGAACGGUACCUCGUUAAACACCGGGCAAAAAAAUAAAUGCAAACGAUAACGUUGUGCAACUCCGUCCAGCGCUUCGCGCUGUAGCCUAACUAAACACUUAGGCCGUACGGACUUGAGGGAGGUCUUGAUUACCCGAUCGCUCUCAUGCUAACCAUGGUGAUUGCUCACAAGCGAAGCUAGCGAUUAAUAGCUUGUGCUAAGACAUAAUCGCGACCCCGGAUGGCUGUCCAUGCCUCUACCAGCGGUUCUGGGAAAAUAAGGGACUAAACCUGUAGUAAUUUGCCUCUCCGCGAUUUUGGACGCGAGUGCGAUUCUCGCCGCCUCCACCA